CUAACAGGUGCGCGAGUCGCCGGGUGCUCCGCGAAACCCGGGGGUGAAACGAAAGUGAAAGGCCGUAAGGCCCGAGGAAAGAUGCCGCGUCGACCGUGGCGCGGCCGCAUUUCCGUUCUGCCGCGAUCGGAGCAAUCGCGAUGCGGUGGAAAGAGAGCGUACACGUUGGGACCCGAAAGAUGGUGAUCUAUGCCUGGGCAGGAUGAAGCCAGAGGAAACUCUGGUGGAGGUCCGAAGCGAUUCUGACGUGCAAAUCGAUCGUCAAACCUGGGUAUAGGGGCGAAAGACUAAUCGAACCAUCUAGUAGCUGGUUCACUCCGAAGUUUCCCUCAGGAUAGCUGGCGUGCGGUAUCGAAACAGUUUUAUCCGGUAAAGC
rnacentral:rRNA from 1 species